CAAGACAGCCAUGUCACCCUGCAGCCCAAGACCGGUUACUCACUGAAGCUAAGCAGGGCUGAGCCAGGUCAGUACCUGGAUGGGAGACCACAAGGGAACACUAGGUUGCUGUUGGAA
rfam:Danio rerio chromosome 6 genomic contig CTG10382, GRCz11 reference primary assembly.